rnacentral:lncRNA from 1 species
GAUGAAUACAAACUGCUCAAGCCAGUACUGCCACCAAAAGAAAUGUCUACUAAACUACAGCUUUUAGAUACAUACCAAAUCCAGUUAGCAGCUUCUUACUGCCACUCUGGGAGAUGUUUUCUUUAAGAGCAGACUGUCAAUAUCGUGUUUACUCUUCAGUUCAGAAAGGCGGGUUUUUGUUUGCUUGCUUUAGCAUGACAAACUGUGCUGCUAUUGCCAAACUACAAGCAAGAGAGAGCGACACCCUGGGGUGUCAGCCAGAGGCAACAGGCUGGUUUGCAGCCUAGAUGUGUUUCUACCCACCACAUCAAUACCAGUAAGUUCAUCUUUCCAUUUUCACUGAAGUUGCUUAGUAACAGAAGAUGAGGGUAAAGCGUGUCCAGACUGCAUUGCAAUGUCUUGUCUUCAGGUUCAUUGAAAAAGAUGGACUAAUGGACCACCAAUGUGAAAAUGUUGUUCAUAUCUGAAUCAGUGGAUCCAUUUGAUAUUCCUCAAGGAGCUUUUAGAAGAAUAGCUUUGUCAUAUUUCUUUUCAGCCUAUAUAUUUUUAUGUGAUUGCCCUUUGACUAUAGCACAUCUAAGAAAUAAUGAAGAAUUUCCUUAGAUACUUGUUUCACAUGGCAUUCUGACCACUUUGAUAAAUAUACAGGAUGAGAAUUACCAUACUUUGGGCAGACACACUUUGAAUCAUUUUUAGUAUCAUUUUUAAGUGAACUUACAGUCCAUUACAAGGAGAGAAAUCUCAAGAAUUUUAAUAGUGUGGACCAGAACUUCAUAAAAGCACAGUCUCAUGGAUGGCUUCCUUCACUACUGUGAUCCUGAGAAUGAUCUUAUCUCCCACUGUAACUGUAUAACACCACUCAAUAGCAGGGCUGCAUUAAGGAAGUGUGCAGGUGCGAUUUUCAGGUCUUCAGCUGUGAUCUAGCUUUGCUGUUUUUGCAGGCAAAUAGUAAAGACGUAGUGCUUCCAAAGUCUAUUACAAGAUUUCUAAUUACCUUUGAAGAAAAUUCUCUAUUCAAAAAAACAUAAAUAAAUAAAAAAGCAAGCCUCA